GAUGAACGCUGGCGGCGUGCCUAAUACAUGCAAGUCGAACGAACAGACGAGGAUGCUUCCACCUUGCCGGUAGCGGCGGACGGGGGAGUAAAAAGUGGAUCACCCUCCCAUAAGACUGGGAUUAACACGUGAAAACGGAGCCAAUAACGGAAAAUAUAUUAAACUGGAUUGACAAAUAGUUAAAGAGGGCUUUGCCGUCACUUAUAGAUGGAUCCGCGCUGCAUUAGCUAGUUGGUAGGGUAACGGCUUACCAAGGCAACGAUGCGUAGCCGACCUGAGAGAGUGAUCGGCCACACUGGAACUGAGACACGGUCCAGACUCCUACGGGAGGCAGCAGUAGGGAAUCUUCCGCAAUGGGCGAAAGCCUGACGGAGCAACGCCGCGUGAGUGAUGAAGGUUUUCGGGUCGUAAAGCUCUGUUAUAAGGGAAGAACAGAUGUAUAAGUAACUAUGCACGGCUUGACGGUACCUAAUCAGAAAGCCACGGCUAACUACGUG
rnacentral:rRNA from 1 species